rnacentral:rRNA from 1 species
GACGUAGGGGGCGAGCGUUGUCCGGAUUUAUUGGGCGUAAAGAGCUCGUAGGUGGCUUGUCACGUCGGUUGUGAAAACCUGCAGCUUAACUGUGGGCGUGCAGCCGAUACGGGCGGGCUAGAGGCAGGUAGGGGAGAGUGGAACUCCUGGUGUAGCGGUGAAAUGCGCAGAUAUCAGGAAGAACACCGGUGGCGAAGGCGGCUCUCUGGACCUGUUCUGACGCUGAGGAGCGAAAGCGUGGGGAGCGAACAGG